CCUACGGGAGGCAGCAGUGGGGAAUAUUGGACAAUGGGCGAAAGCCUGAUCCAGCCAUGCCGCGUGUGUGAAGAAGGCCUUCGGGUUGUAAAGCACUUUCAGUGGGGAAGAAAGCCUUGGGGCUAAUACCCUCGAGGAAGGACAUCACCCACAGAAGAAGCACCGGCUAACUCCGUGCCAGCAGCCGCGGUAAUACGGAGGGUGCGAGCGUUAAUCGGAAUUACUGGGCGUAAAGCGCGCGUAGGCGGUCUGAUAAGCCGGUUGUGAAAGCCCCGGGCUCAACCUGGGAACGGCAUCCGGAACUGUCAGGCUAGAGUGCAGGAGAGGAAGGUAGAAUUCCCGGGGUAGCGGUGAAAUGCGUAGAGAUCGGGAGGAAUAACAGUGGCGAAGGCGGCCUUCUGGACUGACACUGACGCUGAGGUGCGAAAGCGUGGGUAGCAAACAGGAUUAGAUACCCCUGUAGUC
rnacentral:rRNA from 1 species